GAGUUUGAUCCUGGCUCAGGGCGAACGCUGGCGGCGUGCUUAACACAUGCAAGUGGAGCGACGAACCAGGCUUCGGCCUGGGGCAAAGCCGCGAACGGGUGAGUAACACGUGGGUAACCUGCCCCGAAGAUCGGGACAACCCGGGGAAACCCGGGCUAAUACCGAAUGUGCUCCCUCACAUCAGUGAGACGAGUAAAGGAAGCUUCGGCCUCCGCCUCGGGAUGGGCCCGCGGUCCAUUAGCUUGUUGGUGAGGUAAAGGCUCACCAAGGCUGCGAUGGGUAGCUGGCCUGAGAGGACGAUCAGCCACACUGGGACUGAGACACGGCCCAGACUCCUACGGGAGGCAGCAGUGGGGAAUCUUGCGCAAUGCGCGAAAGCGUGACGCAGCAACGCCGCGUGGGGGAAGAAGGCCUUCGGGUUGUAAACCCCUUUCAGGAGGGACGAAGGUCGGGCCGUUAAUAGCGGUUCCGGCUGACGGUACCUCCACAAGAAGCCCCGGCUAACUACGUGCCAGCAGCCGCGGUAAUACGUAGGGGGCAAGCGUUGUCCGGAAUCAUUGGGCGUAAAGAGCGUGUAGGCGGUCCGGUAAGUCCGCUGUGAAAGUCAAGGGCUCAACCCUUGAAUGCCGGCGGAUACUGUCGGGCUAGAGUCCGGAAGAGGUGAGUGGAAUUCCUGGUGUAGCGGUGAAAUGCGCAGAUAUCAGGAGGAACACUAUGGCGAAGGCAGCUCACGGGACGGUACUGACGCUGAGACGCGAAAGCGUGGGGAGCAACAGGCUUAGAUACCCCAGUAGUCCACGCCGUACACGAUGGGCACUAGGUGUGUGAGGUGUCGUCUCCUUCCGUGCAGAAGCUACCGCAUUAAGUGCCCCGCCUGGGGAGUACGGUCUCAAGGCUCAAACUCAAAGGAAUUGACGGGGGCUCGCACAAGCAGCGGAGCAUGUGGUUUAAUUUGACGCAACGCGAAGAACCUUACCUGGGCUUGACACGUCGGUGACAGGUGUGGAAACACCUCCUACCUAUGGGCGCCGUCACAGGUGGGGCAUGUCAGUCGUCAGCUCUAGUCGUGAGAUGUUGGUUUAAGUUCCGCAACGAGCGCAACAACCCGAAGCAUGUUUUCAGCCUUAAGUUGGGGACUCAUGCGAGACUGCCGCUGACAACACGGAGGAAGGUGGGGAUGACGUCAAGUCAUCAUGCCCCUUAUUCACAGGCAUACACACGUGUUACAUUGUCGCAUACAAAGGGCUGCGAUACCGCGAGGUGGAGCGAAUUCCAAAAAAAGCGAAUCGGUUCGGAUUGGAGGCUGAAACUCGCCUCCAUGAAGGCGGAGUUGCUAGUAAUCCCGAAUCAGCAACCUCGGGGUGAAUACGUUGCCGGGCCUGGUACACACCGAUCGUCACACCAGGAAAGCGGGCAACACUCGAAGCCGGUGACCCAACCCUCACGGGAGGGAGCCGUUGAAGGUGGGGCUCGUGAUUGGGGAGAAGUCGUAACAAGGUAGCCCUUCCGGCUGGAUCACCUCCUUUCU
rnacentral:rRNA from 1 species